rnacentral:rRNA from 1 species
AUUGAACGCUGGCGGCAUGCCUUACACAUGCAAGUCGAACGGCAGCACGGGAGCUUGCUCCUGGUGGCGAGUGGCGAACGGGUGAGUAAUGCAUCGGAACGUAUCUGGAAGUGGGGGAUAACGUAGCGAAAGUUACGCUAAUACCGCAUAUUCUGUGAGCAGGAAAGAGGGGGAUCGCAAGACCUCUCGCUUUCGGAGCGGCCGAUGUCGGAUUAGCUAGUUGGUGAGGUAAAAGCUCACCAAGGCGACGAUCCGUAGCGGGUCUGAGAGGAUGAUCCGCCACACUGGGACUGAGACACGGCCCAGACUCCUACGGGAGGCAGCAGUGGGGAAUUUUGGACAAUGGGCGCAAGCCUGAUCCAGCCAUGCCGCGUGAGUGAAGAAGGCCUCGGUUGUAAGCUCUUCGUCGGGAGAAGUAGCACUGUUAAUACGAGUGUAGAUGACGGUACCCGCCGACUAAGAAGACACCGGCUAACUACGUAGCC